GUGGCAUAGGAGGGGGCGGCGGCGGCGGCGGUGGCGGCGGCGGAGGAGGGGGGGGCGGAGGUGGCGGUGCAGGAGGUGCCUGUUUCUUGGCCAGGUUGCUCCGCGGAACUUUAGGAGAGGACCACGGAGAGGAUCUCGUGCGGUGGUUCUGGGGUUGGCGGCUCCUUCCGGCGCCCCCUGCUGCUGCCUCUGCUCCUGCAGCCGUUUCUGCCUCUGACGGUCCUGGUUCCUGGUGAGGAUGCCCGUCAUGCUCAUCCUGGGACCGGGAUGAAACAUCGUCCUGCGCUCCUGUUCCAAUGUGGUGGAACACACCCACAAAGAAUUCGGCCACAAAUGUUGCACACCCCUCUUCUUUUGACAGUAAGGUACAGUUUUGAGAUUAGAUUAUGGUCUCUGGUACAUGGAAAUUGUGGCAAUU